CUUCUUAGAGGGACUAUCGGUGUUUAACCGAUGGAAGUUUGAGGCAAUAACAGGUCUGUGAUGCCCUUAGAUGUUCUGGRCCGCACGCGCGCUACACUGAUGAAGUCAACGAGUUAAUUUCCUUCAUCGGAAGAUGUGGGUAAUCUUUUGAAACUUCAUCGUGCUGGGGAUAGAGCAUUGCAAUUAUUGCUCUUGAACGAGGAAUCCCUAGUAAGCACAAGUCAUUAGCUUGUGCUGAUUACGUCCSUGCCCUUUGUACACACCGCCCGUCGCUACUACCGAUUGAAUGGCUUASUGAGGC
rnacentral:rRNA from 1 species